rnacentral:rRNA from 1 species
GAUGAACGCUGGCGGCGUGCCUAAUACAUGCAAGUAGAACGCUGAAGGAAGGAGUUUGCUCUUUACGGGUGAGUUGCGAACGGGUGAGUAACGCGUAGGUAACCUGCCUGGUAGCGGGGGAUAACUAUUGGAAACGCUAGCAAAUACCGCAUAACAGUAGAUGUUGGAGGAGAGCGACUUAAAAGGUGCAAUUGCACCACUACCAGAUGGACCUGCGUUGUAUUAGCUGGUUGGUGAGGUAACGGCGCAGCAAGGCGACGAAACAGAGCCGAACGGCGAGGAUGAUCGGCCACACUGAGAGGGUGACCCGCCCCAGACGCCCUCGGGAAGCAGCAGUAGGGAAUCUUGGGCAAGGGACGGAAGUCUGGCCGAGCAAGGCCGAGUGAGGGAACAAGGUUUUCGGAUCGGAAAGCACUGUUGUAAGGGAAGAACGAGUGUGCGAGUGGAAAGUUCACACUGUGACGGUAUCUGAACAGAAAGCGACGGCUAACUACGUG